rnacentral:ncRNA from 1 species
GAGAACUACUAGCAACAGCUUAAAACUCAAAGGACUUGGCGGUGCUUCACCCCUCUAGAGGAGCCUGUUCUAUAAUCGAUAAACCCCGAUACACCUCACCAUCUUUUGCCACUACUGUAUAUAUACCGCCAUCGUCAGCCAACCCUAAAAAGGAACAAAAGUAGGCGUAAUCAUUUUUCAUAAAAACGUUAGGUCAAGGUGUAGCCUAUAAGAUGGAAGAAAUGGGCUACAUUUUCUACAUUAGAACAUACGAAAAACUCUAUGAAACUAGAGUAUUAAGGAGGAUUUAGUAGUAAGCCAAGAAUAGAGAGCUUGACUGAACUGGGCAAUGAAGCACGCACACACCGCCCGUCACCCUCCUCAAUCAAGCAACACAAACAUUCCUAAAAUCCCAACGCUUUUCAAGAGGAGAUAAGUCGUAACAAGGUAAGCAUACCGGAAGGUGUGCUUG